AAGGGUAGCAAUACCUGAGUAAAGUGGCGACCGGGUGAGUAACACGUGACUAACCUACCUUCGAGUGGGGGAUAACAUCGGGAAACCGAUGCUAAUACCGCAUAACAUCGCAAGAUCAAAGCAGCAAUGCGCUGGAAGAGGGGGUCGCGGCUGAUUAGCUAGUUGGCGGGGUAACGGCCCACCAAGGCGAAGAUCGGUAUCCGGCCUGAGAGGGCGCACGGACACACUGGAACUGAAACACGGUCCAGACUCCUACGGGAGGCAGCAGUGGGGAAUUUUGCGCAAUGGGGGAAACCCUGACGCAGCAACGCCGCGUGGAGGAUGAAGCCCCUUGGG
rnacentral:rRNA from 1 species